AACGGGAUCCUUCGGGAUUUAGUGGCGGACGGGUGAGUAACGCGUGAGAAUCUGCCCUUAGGUUGGGGACAACAGUUGGAAACGACUGCUAAUACCCAAUGUGCCGAGAGGUGAAAGGUUAACUGCCUGGGGAUGAGCUCGCGUCUGAUUAGCUAGUUGGAGUGGUAACGGCACACCAAGGCGACGAUCAGUAGCUGGUCUGAGAGGAUGAUCAGCCACACUGGGACUGAGACACGGCCCAGACUCCUACGGGAGGCAGCAGUGGGGAAUUUUCCGCAAUGGGCGAAAGCCUGACGGAGCAAGACCGCGUGAGGGAGGAAGGCCUAUUGGUUGUAAACCUCUUUUGAUAGGGAAGAACACAAUGACGGUACCUAUCGAAUCAGCAUCGGCUAACUCCGUGCCAGCAGCCGCGGUAAUACGGAGGAUGCAAGCGUUAUCCGGAUUUAUUGGGCGUAAAGCGUCCGUAGGUGGCAAACCAAGUCAGUUGUUAAAGCGUAGAGCUUAACUCUAUAAGGGCAAUUGAAACUGGUUAGCUAGAGUGCGAUAGGGGCAAGGGGAAUUCCCAGUGUAGCGGUGAAAUGCGUAGAUAUUGGGAAGAACAUCGGUGGCGAAGGCGCCUUGCUGGGUCUGCACUGACACUGAGGGACGAAAGCUAGGGGAGCGAAAGGGAUUAGAUACCCCUGUAGUCCUAGCCGUAAACGAUGGAUACUAGGCGUUGUCCGUAUCGACCCGAGCCGUGCCGAAGC
rnacentral:rRNA from 1 species